AGAGUUUGAUCCUGGCUCAGGACGAACGCUUGCGACGUGCCUAAGAAAUGCAAGUCGAACGGAUCAGCAGCAAUGCUGGUUAGUGGCGAACGGUCGCGUAACACGUGGGCAACCUGCCCUGAAGCGGGGGACAACAACUCGAAAGAGUUGCUAAUACCGCAUGUGUCUCGCUGUGGCAUCACAGAGGAGACAAAGCCGCAAGGCACUUCAGGAUGGGCCCGCGGCCUAUCAGCUAGUUGGUGAGGUAACGGCCCACCAAGGCUUCGACGGGUAGCUGGUCUGAGAGGACGAUCAGCCGGAUUGGGACUGAGAUACGGCCCAGACUCCUACGGGGGGCAGCAAUUAGGAAUCUUGCACAAUGGGCGAAAGCCUGAUGCAGCGACGUCGCGUGAAGGAUGAAAUCUUUCGGGAUGUAAACUUCUUUUACCAGGGAAGAAACAAAUGACGGUACCUGGUGAAUAAGCCCCGGCUAACUACGUGCCAGCAGCCGCGGUAAUACGUAGGGGGCGAGCGUUGUCCGAAGUUACUGGGCGUAAAGAGCGCGUAGGCGGGUCUUUAAGUGAGGGGUGGAAGUCCGGGGCUCAACCCCGGAACUGCCUUUCAUACUGGGGACCUUGAGUGUGGGAGAGGCGAGUGGAAUAGUCGGUGUAGCGGUGAAGUGCGUAGAUAUCGAUCGGAACACCCAUGGCGAAGGCAGCUCGCUGGCCUAUAACUGACGCUGAGGCGCGAAAGCGUGGGGAGCAAACAGGAUUAGAUACCCUGGUAGUCC
rnacentral:rRNA from 1 species